GACAGAGGCCUCAAGCGUUAGGCGGAAUCACUGGGCUUAAAGCGUGUGUAGGCGGAUCGUUAAGUGCCUUGUGAAAUCCCACGGCUUAACUGUGGAACGGCUGGGCAUACUGGCGGUCUUGAGCCAUCUAGGGGCGACUGGAACAAACGGUGGAGCGGUGAAAUGCGUAGAUAUCGUUUGGAACGCCAAUGGUGAAAACAGGUCGCUGGGGAUGUGCUGACGGCUGAGACACGGAAAGCCAGGGAGCAAACGGG
rnacentral:rRNA from 1 species